rnacentral:tRNA from 1 species
ACUUUCCUAGUAUAAUAGAGUACAGCUGACUUCCAAUCACCUAGUCUCAGUCAAAGUCUGAGGGGGAGUA